rnacentral:lncRNA from 1 species
AAAACCUUGCUCCAGUUGCAUGUUCUCCUUCUUUGCUAUUUCCUAUUUUUUUUGGUCAUUGCAAUUAAUUCCAGAUGUGACAUCUUUGUACUUUCAUAUUUCUUCCCAUGAUUUUGUUCGAUAAAAAAGUCUAUUUUAAUUGCCCAAAUUGCUCCCGGCUUCUUGAAAUCACCUAAAGCUUCAUUACUUAUUGGGGAUUUAAGACAGGAAUGAUGCAGGCUAAAUAAUAACAAAAAACUUUAAUGAAAAAAGCGAGCGGAUGGAAUCUCAUUCUACAUGAUAGCAGCUAGGGUCUCACACGUUAAAGUCAUUGCUAUUAUGAAAAUUGAAUUCCUGAAAACUAUAACAUUACUAUUAUGGAAAUUAAAGUCCUAAAAUCGAACUUUUUCUCCAUUGAGGUGACUCUCAAUUUUGGUAUAAUCCUGAAUGAAAAGUGUUCUCAACCUGGUCCCAAUGUGAAAUUGUUCCUGAUUCAAUCCCUUCUGCGAUGUACGGGGACCAGAAUUGUGAAUGUACAGGAAUAAAAUUUCAGUCUGUUAGGUUAGAAAUAUAUUUGCUUGGAAAAAUAAGGGAAGACCACAAAAAUUAGUAUUGGCAAUUAGACUAGUUAUCUAGGGAAAGGGGAUUGGUUAUAUAAAUAAUAGGGGGAUGCAAGGGUAGAGGGAUCAUUCUGAGUAGUUAGCAUUUGUGAACAAGACAUUGGGUUUUUUUGUAAAUAGGUGAAACUGAAACCCUUGGUAGGAGAAUUCCUUCCUUUAUCAAUAACUAGUCUGUUCAAUUCUUUUCUUCAUCCAUUCUAUCCAAGUAUCCACUGGCUCCCUCAUUCGUGGUUCCUAACACACCCACUGUGACAGCAAAAGAUUAAAUGAUUUUUUUCUGGAAACUUCUGGUUUUUGGUAAGGAGUGUCAUGUACAAUGAUCAAAAAGUUAAUUAAACCUUCAUAAAGUAGCUAAAACUCUGGGGAAAAAGUGUUUUAGUACAACCCUUGGAAGGUGAAAAGAAGUAAUAUAAAAAAUACCUUUUGUUAAAUAUAGUGAAAAUUAUAUAUUGGAAUUAAUNNCUUGUGUUAAAUACACACAUAGGGUUCUCUAUUUAUAAUAGAAGAAAUAUGGGCUAAGCCCAAAUACAAAUGAAUAUGUAAGAAUAAAAUAAAAUAAAAUAAAAUAAGAACAAUGUUUCCCUAAUAAACAUAUAGGGACUAUAUUUCCCUAAUUAACAUAAACACAAUAUAAACUAAAUAUAAUAUCUCUAACACCUUUUUACCGAACCUUACCAAACCUUACCCAAAUGCACCCU